UCGUCUCUGGGAUAUGGAGAAUAUGAAGUUGUCGGAAAUGACUGAGGAAAACAUGCAGAAAGACACUUAUGGCUGUCGUGUUCAGGACUUCAAACAGAUCAGCUCACCUGUCACUCUAACUUGGCAUGGUGCGGAACAGAAAAUAUUAAAUGCUCCACUAAUGUUAUUCAUGCCCCAAGCGCAUUUGUCCCCUGGAAAAGACAGCGUUUGUGAAUCUACAACAACAAUGCAUGGGAGAUCAUAGCGUCUAGUCUGAUAUGAGACAUAUCAGUGUCAUUUCUGGCACCACACCACUAAUUUUGGUGUGAAGUGAGCUUCUGUUUUGGGGGUUGAGACAACUGCAUGCAUUUCUCCAAUUUGCCCAUGUCCAUUUUCAGAGUGGCAGCAAUUGUCUUAUACAAAUAAAUAACUAUUCCUACUCAGA